UAAUACUGAAUUAUUUAUAUUUUAAUAUAAUUCAUUAAAUGCAUAAAAUUUCUUUUUUUAAGGACUAAACCAGUGGUAAACAUAGAAAAGACCUUAACAUUAACACCGAAUACCAUUGAUUUCAAGGCUCAGGACUGCAAGAGAUAUUCAUGGUGAGGGAUCAAGUACACACUAAAGGCUGAUACAGUGCGGAUAGAGAGGGGUCUUCCUUCACAAGUGGUCUUUGUGAAUUCUGAGGCUGCACAGGGAUACCAGGAACUGUCUGUCCAGGGCAAACGAGAGUGUAUCCAGACCAAGCUCAGGCUGCUGGUACUAUCAACUCGCACUCUGAUUUGCUGGUUUUAAGAAUUACAAGUGAGAAUUCAUGAUGGAAAACAUUUUAUUGUGUUUUAGGGAGAUAUCCAGGACAAGCUGACGAGCAUUUCCAUCAGCCUUUCUGUUUCUUUGCCAUCUAAUAAUCCGAAACAGACAGUCAGAAACCUCCCUGGCUUAGAGCCGGUUCUGAACGCUCUGCAAGAAAAUGCAACCAAAGCAGAGGAAACUCAGGUGCAGUCUAACCCCAAUGAAAAUAAAACGCAGGUUGACUGCCAACUUGAAAAUCCCUUUAAAAGAGACUCUUGAGGUUUCAUUCUUCCUGAUACUUAGCGCAGAAAGGCGUCCCUUGAGAGUAACAAGCGCCAAUGUGACUGUCCCUUAA
rnacentral:lncRNA from 1 species